rnacentral:rRNA from 1 species
UACAGAGGGUGCGAGCGUUAAUCGGAAUUACUGGGCGUAAAGCGUGCGUAGACGGUAGCGUAAGUCAGAUGUGAAAGCCCCGGGCUCAACCUGGGAAUUGCAUUUGAGACUGCUCUGCUCGGGUGCGGAAGAGGGAAGCGGAAUUUCCGGUGUAGCAGUGAAAUGCGUAGAUAUCAGGAGGAACACCGAUGGCGAAGGCAGGUCUCUGGGCUGACACUGACGCUCAUGCACGAAAGCGUGGGGAGCAAACAGG